CCUACGGGCGGCAGCAGUAGGGAAUCUUUCACAAUGGGCGAAAGCCUGAUGGAGCAACGCCGCGUGCAGGAUGAAGGCCUUCGGGUUGUAAACUGCUUUUAUAAGCGAGAAAUAUGACGGUAACUUAUGAAUAAGGAUCGGCUAACUACGUGCCAGCAGCCGCGGUCAUACGUAGGAUCCGAGCAUUAUCCGGAGUGACUGGGUGUAAAGAGUUGCGUAGGUGGCAUAAUAAGUAGCUAGUGAAAUCUGGUGGCUCAACCAUUCAGACUAUUAGCUAAACUGUUAAGCUCGAGACCGUUAGGGGUAACUGGAAUUUCUAGUGUAGGAGUGAAAUCCGUAGAUAUUAGAAGGAACACCAAUAGCGUAGGCAGGUUGCUGGGACGGUUCUGACACUAAGGCACGAAAGCGUAGGGAGCAAACGGGAUUAGAUACCCCUGUAGUC
rnacentral:rRNA from 1 species